rnacentral:rRNA from 1 species
CGAACGCUGGCGGCGUGCUUAACACAUGCAAGUCGCACGGUGAAGCUCCAGCUUGCUGGAGUGGAUCAGUGGCGAACGGGUGAGUAACACGUGAGCAACCUGCCCCUGACUCUGGAAUAAGCGCUGGAAACGGCGUCUAAUACUGGAUACGAGAAGGGUCCGCAUGGGCACUUUCUGGAAAGUUUUUCGGUUGGGGAUGGGCUCGCGGCCUAUCAGCUUGUUGGUGAGGUAAUGGCUCACCAAGGCGACGACGGGUAGCCGGCCUGAGAGGGCGACCGGCCACACUGGGACUGAGACACGGCCCAGACUCCUACGGGAGGCAGCAGUGGGGAAUAUUGCACAAUGGGCGAAAGCCUGAUGCAGCGACGCCGCGUGAGGGAUGACGGCCUUCGGGUUGUAAACCUCUUUCAGCAGGGAAGAAGCGAAAGUGACGGUACCUGCAGAAGAAGCACCGGCUAACUACCUG